rnacentral:tRNA from 1 species
GCGGAAGUAGCUCAGUGGUAGAGCUCUUGCUUGCCAAGCAAGAGGUCGCGGGUUCAAAUCCCGUCUUCCGCU